rnacentral:tRNA from 1 species
GUCCGCGUAGCCUAAUGGAUGAGUCGUCUGACUUCCAAUCAGAAGAUUGCAGGUUCGAAUCCUUUCGCGGACG